rnacentral:rRNA from 1 species
AUUGAACGCUGGCGGCAGGCCUAACACAUGCAAGUCGAGCGGAUGAAGGGAGCUUGCUCCUGGAUUCAGCGGCGGACGGGUGAGUAACGCCUAGGAAUCUGCCUGGUAGUGGGGGAUAACGUCCGGAAACGGGCGCUAAUACCGCAUACGUCCUGAGGGAGAAAGUGGGGGAUCUUCGGACCUCACGCUAUCAGAUGAGCCUAGGUCGGAUUAGCUAGUUGGUGGGGUAAAGGCCUACCAAGGCGACGAUCCGUAACUGGUCUGAGAGGAUGAUCAGUCACACUGGAACUGAGACACGGUCCAGACUCCUACGGGAGGAAGCAGUGGGGAAUAUUGGACAAUGGGCGAAAGCCUGAUCCAGCCAUGCCGCGUGUGUGAAGAAGGUCUUCGGAUUGUAAAGCACUUUAAGUUGGGAGGAAGGGAAGUAAGUUAAUACCUUGCUGUUUUGACGUUACCAACAGAAUAAGCACCGGCUAACUUCGUG